GACAGAGGGUGCAAACGUUGCUCGGAAUUACUGGGCGUAAAGCGCGUGUAGGUGGAUUGGUGUGUCAGAUGUGAAAGCCCUGGGCUCAACCCAGGAACUGCACCUGAAACUACCAGUCUUGAGUGGUGGAGAGGGAAGUGGAAUUCCUGGUGUAGAGGUGAAAUGCGUAGAUAUCUGGAGGAACACCGGUGGCGAAGGCGGCAUCCUGGACCAACACUGACGCUGAGUGAGCGAAAGCCAGGGGAGCAAACGGG
rnacentral:rRNA from 1 species